CGGGACCCGCACAAGCGGUGGAUGAUGUGGUUUAAUUCGAUGCAACGCGAAAACCUUACCACCUUUGACAUGUACGGAAUCCUUUAGAGAUAGAGGAGUGCUCGAAAGAGAGCCGUAACACAGGUGCUGCAUGGCUGUCGUCAGCUCGUGUCGUGAGAUGUUGGGUUAAGUCCCGCAACGAGCGCAACCCUUGUCAUUAGUUGCUACAUUCAGUUGGGCACUCUAAUGAGACUGCCGGUGACAAACCGGAGGAAGGUGGGGAUGACGUCAAGUCCUCAUGGCCCUUAUAGGUGGGGCUACACACGUCAUACAAUGGAUGGUACAAAGGGUCGCCAACCCGCGAGGGGGAGCCAAUCCCAUAAAGCCAUUCGUAGUCCGGAUCGCAGUCUGCAACUCGACUGCGUGAAGUCGGAAUUGCUAGUAAUCGUGGAUCAGAAUGUCACGGUGAAUACGUUCCCGGGUCUU
rnacentral:rRNA from 1 species